CAGGGCCUCUGAUAUGUUAUAAUGUCGUUUUAUGACAAUCAGAAUUCUGUAAAAUCUCUCCCCAAAGUCCAGGAAAUGGCAUUUCAGAGAGUCUAGAUUCAAAAAUUUUCCGGAUGAGCAUGCCCUUGACCCCAUAGAAAACUCGUGCAUAUACGGCGCUCGACUCGUGCCUUUGGCACUUCUACUAGGGGGGCCUUCGAAAAUUUUGAACCGGGGGCCUCCUGAUAUAACGUUACGCCACUGGGCGAGAUAUUUGGAAAUGGACCUUGUCCUUAUUGAGUUUAAAUGGCUUUAACUGCACUACAACAGUAAUAUUGUAUUUAUUGUUACUCUCAUAUUUUUAAUAUUAAUUAUAAAAUUCUG